rnacentral:rRNA from 1 species
GAUGAACGCUAGCGACAGGCUUAACACAUGCAAUUCGAGGGGCAGCGGGGUUGUAGCAAUACAACUGCCGGCGACCGGCGCACGGGUGAGUAACACGUAUGUAACCUGCCCUCUGCAGGGGGAUAAGCGGAAGAAAUUCCGUCUAAUACCGCAUAAUACAAUUUGGAGACAUCUCCGGGUUGUCAAAGGAGUGAUCCGGCAGAGGAUGGACAUGCGGCGCAUUAGCUAGUCGGCGGGGUAACGGCCCACCGAGGCUACGAUGCGUAGGGGUUCUGAGAGGAAGGUCCCCCACACUGGUACUGAGACACGGACCAGACUCCUACGGGAGGCAGCAGUGAGGAAUAUUGGUCAAUGGGCGGAAGCCUGAACCAGCCAAGUCGCGUGAGGGAAGACGGUCCUAUGGAUUGUAAACCUCUUUUGCAGGGGAGCAAGGCGCGGUACGUGUACCGCGAAGGAGAGUACCCUGAGAAAAAGCAUCGGCUAACUCCGUGCCAGCAGCCGCGGUAAUACGGAGGAUGCGAGCGUUAUCCGGAUUUAUUGGGUUUAAAGGGUGCGACAGGCGGACUGUUAAGUCAGCGGUAAAAUGUCGGUGCUCAACACCGGCCGGCCGUUUGAAACUGGCACCCUUGAGUGAGCGAGAAGUAUGCGAAAUGCGUGGGUGUAGCGGGGAAAUGCAUAGAUAUCACGCAGAACUCCGAUUGCGAAGGCAGCAUACCGGCGCUCAACUGACGCUCAGGCACGAAAGCGUGGGUAUCGAACAGGCUUAGAUACCCUGGUAGUCCACGCAGUAAACGAUGAAUGCUCACUGUCCGGGCCGUUUAAGGCCUGGGUGGUCAAGCGAAAGCGUUAAGCAUUCCACCUGGGGAGUACGCCGGCAACGGUGAAACUCAAAGGAAUUGACGGGGGCCCGCACAAGCGGAGGAACAUGUGGUUUAAUUCGAUGAUACGCGAGGAACCUUACCCGGGCUCAAACGGAAGGGGACAGUAUGAGAAAUCAUACAUUCCUUCGGGACCGCUUCCGAGGUGCUGCAUGGUUGUCGUCAGCUCGUGCCGUGAGGUGUCGGCUUAAGUGCCAUAACGAGCGCAACCCCUAUCGACAGUUGCUAGCAGGUAAAGCUGAGGACUCUGUCGAGACUGCCGGCGCAAGCUGUGAGGAAGGCGGGGAUGACGUCAAAUCAGCACGGCCCUUACGUCCGGGGCGACACACGUGUUACAAUGGCAGGUACAGCGGGAAGCCACCCGGCGACGGGGCGCAGAACCCGAAAACCUGUCUCAGUUCGGAUUGGAGUCUGCAACCCGACUCCAUGAAGCUGGAUUCGCUAGUAAUCGCGCAUCAGCCACGGCGCGGUGAAU